rnacentral:rRNA from 1 species
AUGGCCGCGGCGGAGGCCGAGGCUUUCUCCAUACGGGGGUUCGCCGCCAGGAUGCGGGCCGUGGACGCGGCCAAGUGCUGGCCAUUCGGAGGCUCCGAGGACGGGGACUCGGAGACGCCGCAGCUCCCGCCAAUGGACCCGACGCCGCGGUCGCGCUGGUGGGCCGACGAGCUUGCGGCGUUGCGGGCGCUGCCGGGUGUCUGCGCUGCGGGCGGAGACUUCGCCGUGGGUGGUGGCAUGGGAGAUGGUUUGGGGAAGGCGACGAAGAGGAAGGGAUCUCGCGGGAGCGGCGGUGCCGAGAGGGCUAAGAGGCGGCGGAGAGCGCUCCAGUAUAGCCUCUUUCUGAAGCACAAGGAGAGAACCUCUAAACUCCAACCAGCAUCUCGCUUACUUCAACACAUGCUCCAUAAGGGUUUGUUGAGAAAACGAAAAGGCUGUACUAUUCCUACACUAAGAGAACUCGUUAUGAGGAAGAAAUUGCAAGAGCGACAGGAUCAGAUGUCAACCCACAGAAACAGCUUGAAGAAACAGUCCGUGAGAGGAAUGGAUCACGAACGAAGCAUAAAAAUCAGCAGGCCAACUGAUUAUCCUGUAAAUCUUGGCUGUGAAGUAGUGAAGCAUGUUGCAUGCCCACCCAAGGAUGAUAUUUUUGGAGAUCUACCUCUUUUAGAAAGCUCAAAAGUUAUGUUUCAUACUGGAGUUGACAUACUCCCUACUAUUAUAGAAGAUUCUUUUGUAGAAAAUCAAAAUGGGCCAGAUGCCAUAUCAGAAACUGAACCAUUGGAACUAAUGCCUAUUGCUGACAUUUCAAAGCAAACAUCACCCCCCUUUGAAGACUCAGUGAAGAAGGAACAGAGUCCUGACAAAGGGUCAACAUGCAUCUUACUCAAUGAUGCAGGAAGGAAUCAUUCUUCCUCUGCUGAGUUUGAUGGUCUGCUAAAUCAUGCUAGUGUUACCAUGGCGAAAACUUCUCUUCCUGAAAUGCAGCUGAAAUCUACCGAUGUUCCUGCUUUAAGUUCUUAUUGUAACGAGGGAGCAAAAUCUGGUACUAGCAACUGUGCACAUGGUCGUUUCUACACAAACACAGACUGCUUUCAGGAAAUGGAAAGGCCUGGUACCAGUUCGGUGGCCGUGAGAACCAGAACUGAGGCAAUUAAAAAAGAAGAUGCAGCAAUCCAUGGUGUAAACAAUGCAAGUGUCACCAUGGCGAAAACUAGUCUUCCUGAAACGCAGCUGGAAUCUACUCAUGUUCCUGCUUUAAGUUCUUGUUCAGAGGCCGUGAGAACCAGAACUGAGGCAAUUAAAAAAGAAGAUGCAGCAGUCCAUGGUGUAAACAAUGCAAGUGUCGCCAUGGAGAAAACUAGUCUUCCUGAAACGCAGCUGGAAUCUACUCAUGUUCCUGCUUUAAGUUCUUAUUGUAACGAUGGAGCAAAAUCUUGUCCUAGCAACCAUCCGCAGGGUUGUUUCUAUACAAACACAAACUGCUUUCAGGAAAUGAAAAGACCUGGUACCAGUUCAGCGGCCGUGAGAAUCAUAACUGCAGCAGUUACAGAAGAUAGAGAUGCAACUGUCCAUGGUCCAAACAAUACAAGUGUCACCAUGGCGAAAACUUGUCUUCCUGAAAUGCAGCUGAAAUCUACACAUGUUCCUGGUUUAAGUUCUUAUUGUACCGACGGAGCAAAAUCUGGUUCUAGCAACCAUCCGCAGGAUCGUUUCUACACAAACACAAACUGCUUCCAGGAAAUGGAAAGACCUGCUACUAGUUCAGCGGCCGUGAGAACCAGAACGGAAGCAGUUGCAGAAGAUAGAGAUGCAGCUGGCCAUGGUCUAAACAAUGUAAGUGUCACCAUGGCGAAAACUUGUCUUCCUGAAAUGCAGCUGAAAUCUACUCAUGGUCCUGUUUUAAGUUCUUAUAGUAAGGAUGGAGCAAAAUCUGGUUCUAGCAACCAUCCGCAGGGUCAUUUCUACACAAACACAAGCCGCUUUCAGGAAAUGACAAGACCUGGUACCAGUUCAAUGUCUGUGAGAACCAGAACUGAAGCAAUUGAAAAAGAUAGAGAUGCAGCAGUCCAUGGCAAGAAGAGCACUGGUAUCUCUGGUCGACCCGAAUACCAUCCUUCAGGUGAAGGCAAUCUAUCGUCCUCGAUUAUGUCACAGAGGACUGUCAAUGCAGGAAUAAACGCAGAUGGCAUGUCUUCCUGCAGGAGUAUGCCUGCCCAGGAAUAUGCCCCUGCUUCUGUUCCUUGUAAAGUUGCAAGCAAUGUGUAUCAUGAAAGUAGAAAGUCUGUGGAUACAUGCACAGCAUUAUCAAUGGAUGACCAAGGUAGCUGGUACUCAAAAAAUUACUCAGGUCGCUCUCCGGCAAGUAUUAGUUUGCCUUUUAUGGAGCUACCUGGCCUUGAAAAGAUGGAGAUCUCAAGCUAUGAUCCGAGGACAGGUGAAAAUAACUUUAUGAAUGGACGAUCAAUGAACAUAGUAAGAUGCCAACAACAGAAGCAGGUGAGUGGCAUGACCAGUACUAUGCAAAGUCAGAAUAAGAUUGGUUUCAGCGAUUCUCAAGCUGGGAAAAAGGCCCAAGAUGGUUUUGUGAGACGUGAUAAUUGUCAUUCGUACCAACCCACCAUGCGCUUAAUGGGCAAGACAGUCUCACUUUGUAAAGAUAGCAUGGAGCAGGAGGUACCAACUACAGGGAAGUGGAUUGACAAAAAUGUUAUUGGAGACCGUCCCCCAUCAGUUUCAUGCCAGUUGCCCCCAAAGAAGGUGUUCCCUUAUCAAGAUUCUGUGAUACCAAGAACUCAUGUUCAUGAAUCUUCAGAUACUUUGCCAAGGAUUCCCAACAGUACUUUUGCAGAGGCAAGGCCUAUUGUCAGUGAUGCUCAAAAUCAUAGGCUGACACAGACUAAUAUUGUUUCUUCAGCAGUUAAAGAUUACACUUGGAAUUCAGGCAGUCAGUUUGGCCGGCAAGCUCAGGUAAACAAAGAGUAUGUCAUAAGUAACUCAAGGACCAGGCAUAUGGAGUUGUCUCAGCCACCUGAGUUGAUAAGCAUUCAUCGGAACCAAUACUUGCACUUAGGCAAUCCUGCAUCAAGCAUGUAUGCAGAAGAACACACUUUUGUUGGUUCAGCAGUAAAUCGAUCUUCUCCUUCAUUUCCACAGUGGUCAUUAAAUACAAGCAUGCAGGGGAAGUACCAAAAUCCCACUUCAUUGGUUUACGAAGAUCCUAGGUCUGUUCGUACCCACCAACCUCCCUGCCAAGUACCUGGAGCAAAUCUAUUUUCAGCAUCAAACAUAUCUUUUCAUGACUACGGUACAAAAAAUGCCGAGUCCAGAAACUCUUAUCAGCGAGCACAUCCUUCUCUUCCAAGUAGUGCGGCAAGUAAGUUCCAUGACUACUGCACAAAAAAUGUCGAUUCCAGAUACUCUUAUCAGGGAGCACAUCCUUCUCUUUCAACUAGUGUGGCAAGUAAGUCUAUUUGGGCAAGUAAGUCUACUCGCGAUGUUCUGAAUAUAGAUGGCAGGAAGGGUGUUUCCCUAGUUGAUGAAAGAAGCAAGAGACCAGGUUGUGCAGAUAAUGUUUCACAGCAACCUGCAAAGAGGCAGCUUGUUGCAGACAAACCGGAGUUAACAAGUUCGAUGUUCCCAUGCAUGGAGAAAUACUCGUUUGGCUGGUCAGUAAAUGAUACAGUUGGCCCGCGGAUGCUUGACUUCAGUAACAAAAAUAGCAGGACAUGCCACACAAAUAUCAAAAAAUGA